GAUGAACGCUGGCGGCGUGCCUAAUACAUGCCAGUCGAGCGAACAGACGAGGAGCUUGCUCCUCUGACGUUAGCGGCGGACGGGUGAGUAACACGUGGAUAACCUACCUAUAAGACUGGGAUAACUUCGGGAAACCGGAGCUAAUACCGGAUAAUAUAUUGAACCGCAUGGUUCAAUAGUGAAAGACGGUUUUGCUGUCACUUAUAGAUGGAUCCGCGCCGCAUUAGCUAGUUGGUAAGGUAACGGCUUACCAAGGCAACGAUGCGUAGCCGACCUGAGAGGGUGAUCGGCCACACGGGAGCUGAGACACGGUCCAGACUCCUACGGGAGGCAGCAGUAGGGAAUCUUCCGCAAGGGGCGAAAGCCUGACGGAGCAACGCCGCGUGAGUGAUGAAGGUCUUCGGAGCGUAAAACUCUGUUAUUAGGGAAGAACAAAUGUGUAAGUAACUAUGCACGUCUUGACGGAACCUAAUCAGAAAGCCACGGCUAACUACAU
rnacentral:rRNA from 1 species